rnacentral:rRNA from 1 species
GGAGUUAAGAAAUGUAGGUACGCUAAUAUCGUAUCUAUUUGACAAAGGCUCCAAAGGAAGCCACGGCUAACUCUGUGCCAGCAGCCGCGGUAAUACAGAGGUGGCAAGCGUUGUUCGGAAUUAUUGGGCGUAAAGAGCACGUAGGUGGAUUUGUAAGUCAGAUGUGAAAGCCUUCUGUUCAACGGGAGAAUUGCAUCUGAAACUACAAACCUUGAGUAUAGGAGGGGAGAGUGGAAC